UACAGAGGGUGCAAGCGUUGUUCGGAAUUACUGGGCGUAAAGCGUUUGUAGGCGGUGCUGAGAGUCCUAGGUGAAAUCCCCGAGCUCAACUCGGGAACUGCCUAGGAGACCUCAGUACUAGAGUACUGAAGGGGUUACUGGAAUUCCAUGUGUAGCGGUGAAAUGCGUAGAUAUAUGGAGGAACACCUGUGGCGAAGGCGGGUAACUGGUCAGAGACUGACGCUGAGAAACGAAAGCGUGGGGAGCAAACAGG
rnacentral:rRNA from 1 species